rnacentral:rRNA from 1 species
UACGUAGGGGGCAAGCGUUGUCCGGAUUUAUUGGGCGUAAAGAGCGUGUAGGCGGCCUGAAAGGUCAGCUGUGAAAACUCGAGGCUCAACCUCGAGACGUCGGUUGAAACCAUCUGGCUAGAGUCCGGAAGAGGAGAGUGGAAUUCCUGGUGUAGCGGUGAAAUGCGCAGAUAUCAGGAAGAACACCCGUGGCUAAGGCGGCUCUCUAGUACGGUACUGACGCUGAGACGCGAAAGCGUGGGGAGCGAACAGG